ensembl:lncRNA
AAGUGGAGGCGCAGCGAUAGGCUCUGGGAGGGGAGCGGCACAGAUACUAGAAAAAUUCUGGAAAAAAUAAAAUGUGAAGAUAGAAUCAGUUUGCUUUAGGCAGCUUGUUACAUUCUUAGAAAAUUUACAACAAAGAAAUUUACUUCUAGCCAGGCAGUGAUGGCGCAUGCCUUUAACUCCAACACUCAGAAGGCAGAGGCAGGUGGACCUCUGAGGCCAGCCUGGUCUACAGAGUGGGUUCUAGGACAUCCAAAGCUACACAGAAAAACCCUGACUCAAAAAGCAAAGCCAAAAAAGAAAAAAAAAAAAAGGACAAAGCCAGGUAGUGGUGGUGCACAGCUUUUUAAUCUCAGCACUGUGGAGACAGAGACAGGAGGAUCUCUGAGUUUGAGACUAGCCUGGUCUACAGAGUGAGUGCCAGGUUAGCCAGAAAGGUCAAGAAACAAUAUGCUUGGGAAAUGCUGGCAGCAAAUGUCAUCAAUAUUUUUUUUUUCUCUAAAGUUUCUAUUCAUGGUAGUUUAAUCCCAUUGCUCAGGAGGCGGAGGCAGGAAGAUCUCCGUGAGCUUGAGUCCAGCCUGGUCUACAGAGUGAGUUCCAGGCCAACCAGGGCUACAUAGUGAGACUUUGUCUCAAACCCUUUUUCUAUAUAAAAGAAAAAUUUCCAAGAUUAAAAGAAAACUGGAGGAAGGACUUGACGGGAAGCGUGCAGAAGGCGUUAAAUAGCUCCUACACAUGGAGGGGACAUUACUAUGGUCGCAUGAGUGUCCCAUAACCAGGGUGUGUGAUGACUGACAUGCCAUUUGGAGAGAAAGCUGCCAAUGGCCGUGACUUGCUCGAAUGCUGACAAACUUUUACCUUGAGAUUCAUUUCUAAGGAACUUACUCUGCACACACAGCUUGCACACAUGUAAAAAAGCUUCUGGACAGAUGCAUAGAAGUCUGCUUCUAGGGUUGGGGAUUUAGCUCAGUGGUAGAGCGCUUGCCUAGGAAGCGUAAGGCCCUGGGGUUCGGUCCCUAGCUCCGAAAAAAAAAAAAAGAACCAAAAAAAGAAGUCUGCUUCUAGUAGCAGAAAGCACAGUAGCAGUAAACAUCGAUACAGAGCAGUUGAAGGGAGUAAGUUACGGGCUAGCACAAUGCACCAUCACACCAUGAAGCCAUACAAAAGCGAGCUCUCCAUCGUAUUUAUGCAUUCUGUAUUGCGAACAAAGUCCAUCCUGUGCCUCUAGAGUUGGCACACAUGCUCGCGGAUGCAUUCGGGAUUUUUGAAAGUAAACCUUAAAAACUGGCAGCAGUAUUUGACUCUGGAAAGGGGAAAUCGGCGACGAGGGAGAACAACAGCUUUUGCUCUUUGCGACUCUAGGUUCUCUACCAUGUGGUACUUGACGGAGUUUUGCUUUGCAUGUGUUUUUCACUUAUGAAUUUGUAAAUGACUUUCUCAGUUCUUAUCAACCUGUAUCCUGGAUAAACAUUUCAUAAUCAUAGUGGAUAUUGAUAGUGGAUAGUGAAUGGGGGAAUUCGAAAACUAUACAACAUAAUAGAUUUUUUUAGUACCUAACAUUUAGAAGUGUGGACUCACUGUCAUAUUUGAUUCAAGCUUGUUUUUUUUUUAAUAAUAAAAGCCAUAAAAUAUUGGAAUUAAAACGGAACUUUUCUUUAUUCUUUUGCAUUCUAUUACUCCCCCACCCCCACCCCGUCCCUCAAGGACAAUGACAAUCAGGACUUUGGCAUAUUAGAGUUUCACACACAGGUGAAGGCAUCAGACCACACUAAACAGCAGAAUAAAGUGAGGGUGGGAGGGAAGGCACUGG